UACGGAGGGGCUAGCGUUGUUCGGAAUACUGGGCGUAAAGCGCGCGUAGGCGGACCUGCAAGUCGGGGUGAAAGCCCGAGGCUCAACCUCGGAACUGCCUUCGAUACUGCGGGUCUCGAGUCCGGGAGAGGUGAGUGGAAUUCCUAGUGUAGAGGUGAAAUUCGUAGAUAUUAGGAAGAACACCAGUGGCGAAGGCGGCUCCACUGGCCCGGUACUGACGCUGAGGUGCGAAAGGCGUGGGGAGCAAACAGG
rnacentral:rRNA from 1 species